UACGUAGGGGGCAAGCGUUGUCCGGAAUCAUUGGGCGUAAAGCGCGCGUAGGCGGCCCGGUAAGUCCGCUGUAAAAGUCCAGGGCUCAACCCUGGAAAGCCGGUGGAUACUGUCGGUCUAGAGUCCGGAAGAGGCGAGUGGAAUUCCUGGUGUAGCGGUGGAAUGCGCAGAUAUCAGGAGGAACACCGAUGGCGAAGGCAGCUCGCUGGGACGGUACUGACGCUGAGGCGCGAAAGCGUGGGGAGCGAACAGG
rnacentral:rRNA from 1 species